CUGACACAGAGGGCAUGUUCUGAGUCCCCAUCCCUGGCUCACAAACCACAGGGAGCUGCCUCCAGGUGACUGGUUGUUUUAUCAGGUGCCACCUGGGCCUUGGACACCACUCUGAGCUGCUGGGGUGGGAAGGAUCAGGCUGGAAAUCUAUGGGGUAGAGCAGUGCUGAGGGCAGAUGCAGAGCAAAACACUAAAAAUAUAUCUGAGAUUGGCUCCAUGGGUCAGAGCUGGGUGCUGAUAACACCCAGGUCAUGGGUUUGAUCCCCAUUCACUUAAGAGUGGGACUCAAUGAUCCUUGUGGGCCCCUUCCAACUCAGACUAUUCUGUGAUUUGCCCAUGUGCUGCUGCUGCUGCUGCUACAAAUCCAAUAUCCUUGUUACUGGGAGCCACUGGUUGAAGGGAAGGGCUCCCCAUGGACUGCAACCAAGGGGAUGGACGCCAACAGUAAAUUCCCAGAGAGCUGCAUGGGGCGGUCAGAGCCAGCCAGGACCAGGUCCCCAGGCACAGCUCCUUGUCCCUGAAUGUCCCUGUGAUCUACAGGUCACCUGUGUUCACUCUCUUACAAGUGAACCCCCCAGCGUGUGUUUAGAGGGAUGGGGCAUUUUUCCCCUCUGGACCUUCCAAGUCCCUGGAGGGUGCUGGUGCCUCAGCCCCACAGUCAUGGCAGGGGCUGCCAGAGCUGCCCAAUGGUCUCUGGCUCCUCAAGGUCUGGCACUCCCAAUGCAAAGGCACCUGAUUCCUCUGAGUAGCUCAGCUGCCCCACAUGAAGCCAAUCUCCCUGAAGAAAUGAACUUGAAGCAAUGCUGGAGGAAUUUCUUCCCCUCCUGUGGAACCUUCCCACCCAUCCUAUCCUCACGCUCUCCCAACCACUGUCCUCGUUCCAUCAACCCCGAUGGAAUCCACAAAGACAACAGCUCCCAGAACAUCCAGGACAGAGUUAGAAAUUACAGCUGAGCCUCUGGUGUCCUUUGGGACUCAUCUUCACACCCAUUCCCCCACUGCCACAGUCAGAGUCCAGCACUGGGGGGUGACAGGAGACCCCCAGCUGCCCCAGUGUCACAGGACUGGGACAGAUGAUGCCCUACAGACUCACCAUGGUGUGGGAGAAGGUUUUUCUUCUACGGGACAGCUCAGGGACCAGGGGACAGCGAAGUCACCCUCUAAGCCAGGUGAUUGCAAGGCUGCAGGAUCAGGUGGCAACGAAGUUGAGAAGGACCAUGAGACUUGUCCUGAGGAAUGGUCCCCUGUGGGUGUUUCUCUGCAGAGCAUCCAGCAGCUCUCACCCCUCCUGAGCUGCCAGAGGAAUCCAACCAGUCCCACCUGCUCUGUGCAUUGGUGACAGUGCAGUAGAAGCUCCCAGGAUGGUUCUGCAAAAGCCGAUGCCUUCUGCAGCCCUGGGGGGAAUCUCCUCACCCUGCUGCAUCUGUGAACAAGUCCCACCAAACCUGAGGGAUGCCCUGAGAUGGAAAAGGGGGCCAGAAUUUGGAUAAUCAUCACAGCCUGGCCUGGGAACCAGCACAGCCCCAGGCCAGACCCCAAAUAUUCCCCAUGGGGCUGAGAGACCUCUCCCAGAUCACCUGUCCCACUGAUCUUCACCCCAUUGCAUCAGCCCCUCCAGGACACUCCCAUUUCCCACUGCCUGGCAGGGCAGAGGCUUCUCUUCCCCUUGGGAUGUGCUGCUCCAUGUCCUGCUCCUGCAGCCACAGCCCCUAUCCCGGGAGCCCCUUGGGCCUGAUGCAGCUCAGAACAGUGCUCAUGCCAGCCCCUCCAUCCCUGGGCACAGGAUUUGCCCUCCCCACUUGGCUUCAGAGCAAAUCCAUUGGAGUCAGCUCUGGGGCUGGAUGCCAAAGGAGGACAAUUAUCCCAAAAUGCAAGAAACACUUAUAGAAACAUCGUGGACAGUUUGUUUUUCUCUGCUUGAAUACUUUGGGGAGGCCUGAAAUGUUUGCAGAAGGCGCCAAAGCUGAGGAGGGUUCCCCAAAAGCCACGGGGCCCUUUAGGAACAGCUCAGGCUCCUGCCUCGCGCCCCUGGCACAUGGAAAAGGCUUUGUUAAAUAAGGAGGAAUUACCCCCUUUGGGAUAGUGGAAAGACAUUACUGAAAUGGAGAUGAACCACCCACUGAAGAAUUUAAGCUUUCAAUGGCUUUGCCAACGACACAUGAAACCUCCCCAGUGCUGAUCCUGCGGGCUCUUCUCACAGGAGGGGGAUUUGGGCUGCUCCAUGCCAGUGGCAGCCGUGGCUCAGCAGGUGUUUGAAUAUCAGUUUGAGUAUCACAAAGUCCAGGCUGGUUUCCAGCCUAAGGCAAAAUAUUCUACAUUAAAAAAAAAAAAUACUAUUCCAAAUAAUCCAAAAUUUCUGGCCUAGGCAGGGGACCUGACAGUGUUUUUGGAUAUUUUCAGGGUAUUUACAGACCUUUACAUCUGUCUCUGAGACACACCUCAGUAUCCACUUUGGGCUGGGCCCCCACCCCUAGAGCUACCCAGUGGCUCCUGCUCAGGGACAGAUGGGUGCUGGGAUGUGCAGGUUGUUCCCCCUGCAGCUCCAGCAAUGUCUGGGCCCUGGUUUUCACAGAAUCACAGAAUCACCGGCUUGGAAGAGACCUUCAAGAUCAUCAAGUCUAACCCACGUGCUAACACCUCAACUAAACCGUGGCACUGAGUGCCACAUCCAGUCUUUUUUUUAAAAACACAUCCAGGGAUGAUGACUCCACCACCUCCCCAGGCAGACCAUUCCAGUACUUUAUUAUUCUUUCCGUGAAAAACUUUUUCCUAAUAUCCAACCUAAGUUUCCCUUGGUGCAGCUUAAGGCUGUGUCCUCUGGUUCUGUCAGUGCUGCCUGGAGAAAGAGACCAAUCCCAGAUGACUACAGCCACUCUUCAGAGAGUUGUAGAGUGGUAAGGUCACCCCUGAGUCUCCUUUUCCGCAGGCUGAGUAUCCCCAGCUCCCUCAGCUGUUCCUCACAGGGUUUGUGUUCCAGCCCCUCACCUGCCUCGUUGCCUCCUCCGGACGUGCUCCAGCCCCUCCAUGUCCUUCCCAAACUGAGGGGCCAGAACUGGACACAGCACUCGAGGUACAGCCUCACCAGUGCUGAGCACAGGGGAAGGUUUUGUUUCCUCCUGCUCAGUCCCUGCCCUUCCACGGGCUCCCACAACCUCAGCCCUACUGCUGGGGAAUGUCACAGCCACAGCCCUCAACCCCCUGGGACACCCAGCCCAAGACACCCCUGCAGGAGCCUGUUGUUGGGGAAUUAAUGUGCAAUCCCUGCAAUCCCUACCCUGAACCCCUCAGCACCCCAAGAUCUGUGGUCCAAGGACAGUUAUUUCUUUCUACACCCAAAUGCAGGAGGUUUCACUGGAGAUGGCCAAGCUCCCCACAGCAAUGCUGGGGACAUCCCAGCCCCUGCUCCUCUGCAGCGUGCACACACAGACACAGCAGAACUCGGGGAAGGUGUUGGGUGCCAAACCAAAAUCCAGUGAUUUAGAAAUUACCAUUGAGGGUGGUCAACAAUGAAAUCAUUCUAGGAGCAUCUGGAGGAAGCUGGACAGUUGACCUAAAGCCAAAAUGCAGAAUGCUACUUGCUACAGCUGGGAUUUGUUUGGGUUUUUUUCCAUUUUUAUCUAAAGAGGAACCACCCACUAGCUUAGGGAUGAUGCCAGGAGAAGCAGGGCAGUGCCAGGCUUUCUGCAGGAUACUCGGUGGUGGAGGAUGUCCCACACAAGGUCCCACCUGACAAAAGCACGAGCACCAUCAGGCUGCACCUCCCUGUCUCAGCACUGUGACCCCACUGCCCUCCCUGGCACUCAGGGUGUCCAGCCAGCCCCAAACUGAUCCCAAAGCCAGACCUGGGAUGUCACCAGGUGGAAAAACUCCUGCCCCCUGCACCCUUGUGGUGCUGCAGGGAGGGUGCCAGUGGCUGUGUGUGCUGGCAGAGCCCCUGCCCAGGGUGGGGGCACAGGGCAGCCCCCAGAGCAGCCUCAGGGCUGCCAGCAGCACAGCCAGAUGUUCAGGCUACUGCCUUUGAACUCUGGGUGCUCCAGGGCACCUCUCUCCUCUCUGGGGCUCUCCCUGGGGCCCGGGGGGUCUGGCAGCCCCUCCUCACCUCUGGAGCCCAUGUGCUGGAGGGGCUGAGGGGCCACAACCCCACCCCACAUCCCCCUGUUGCCCCCCACCUCUGAGGGCAUUAGAAAUGCUUCCCGUGGCUCCUCUCCUGCUUUCCAGGCUGCCUGGAAAUGUCCUGGCACCAUGUUCCUGCUGCUGGGGGAUGCUCCAGCCUCUGACUCUGGCCCAGCUCCAGACCCUGGCCAGGUCUCUGGGCUGUUUAUUUGUUUUUCAAUCUCGGGGUGAUUUUUCCUUUGCAGAGACAUUCAGCCCUCCCAGGGGCAGAUGAAGCCACCACACCUUCCACCCCCAGCUGCUGGCUGGGCCCUGACCCCUGGGGUCAGGCUGGGAACCACUGAGGGUGGGUCAGGCAGGUGUGGGUGUCUGCUCAGAAGAAAAUCCCAAACCUGGAGACCUGGGGAGGUCUGAAGCCCCUGGGGAAUAUGGGGGCCAGGCAGGGACCCUGGAUGUGUGUUGGUCUGGAUGAAGGGCUCGGGAUGAGGAUGGAAAGGCUUGACUUUCCCCAUGCCUGGACCUGAGACACUGACACAGGGAUUUGUGUUCUCUUGCUGUCCUCUCCCUCCAUUGAGUGCCUGAAUUUCUUCCCAGCUUUCAGGUACAGUGUCUCUCUGCCACCUCAUCAACAGUGCCCAGGGAUAUGCCACAGCCAGGGCUGGUGCUUACACACCCUCCUUGCUCAUUUUCUCUGCCAGUUCCUUGCUGGCAGUUGGAAAACAGAAAAUAUCUAUUUACAGGGAGCAAGGGAGCAGAAAAACUGAAAAAAAGGAGUCACACUGGAUAAAAGCAGUAACUUUGGGAACUCCCUUGCACCGAGUGCUCCCCCCACCCUGGCACUCACCUGGCUUGGGAUGCUCACAUGGCUUUGACUGAGCCUCACUGAAUCCCCUGACUCCAAGAGUUGGGGAUUUAGGGGAAACCCCAAGACAAUGAUCCUUGCCCUGGAAAUGCCGUGUAAAAGCACCAGCACCUUCCUGGCCACCCCAUUCCCUCCUAACACGUGUGCAGGGACCUGGGCAGGGGCUUGUCCACACCUGAAUCAUGUCCUGUGGAAGGUCCCACCAUCCCUGGAGCGCCCCUUGUCCCUGUCAUUGACACUGGGACGUUGCAGAGCUCUGUCUGUGCAGGCUUUGGUCCGGCUCCAUCUGCACCCCCAGCCUGGCCCCCCUCUCUCCUCUCCACUCCCAGCCAGGGGGUCUCAGUAAAUGCAGCCCUGAGGACCAGCGGCUGGCCAAGGAGGCUUUGCUGGGUGGAGCAGCCCCCCUCCCCCCCAGGCCUGUUUCUGCAGAGCCAGCACUAGCCUGGCCUGGCACGGUGAGCAGGCUCUGACCAUGCCACCGUCCCCAAAGCCACCCUGACAUGGGGAUGGGACCCAUGGGCCUCGUGGGGGGCAGGCUGCAGUACAGGCUGCAGUACAGGCUGCAGUACAGGCUGCGGGGCAGGCUGGGGGGCAGGCUCCCCCCCCCCCCCCCCCCCCCCCCCCCCCCCCCCCCCCCCCCCCCCCC
rnacentral:lncRNA from 12 species